rnacentral:rRNA from 1 species
AUGCAGUCGAACGAGGAAAGCACCUUUCGGGUGCCGGUACUAGUGGCGCACGGGUGAGUAACGCGUGGAUAACCUGCCCUCUGGCGGGGAAUAACUAGUCGAAAGAUUAGCUAAUACCGCAUAAGACCACAGCUUCUGCGGAAGCAGUGGUUAAAGAUUUAUCACCAGAGGAUGAGUCCGCGCCCGAUUAGCUUGAUGGUGGGGUAACGGCCUACCAUAGCGACGAUCGGUAGCUGGUCUGAGGGGAUGAUCAGCCACACUGGAACUGAGACACGGUCCAGACUCCUACGGGAGGCAGCAGUAGGGAAUAUUGCGCAAUGGGGGAAACCCUGACGCAGCGACGCCGCGUGAGUGAUGAAGGCCUUCGGGUUGUAAAGCUCUGUUCUACAGGAACAAAAAAAUGAGUGUACUGUAGAAGAAAGGACCGGCUAACUCCGUGCCAGCAGCCGCGGUAAUACGGGGGGUCCUAGCGUUGUUCGGAAUCAUUGGGCGUAAAGCGGGUGUAGGCGGAUUAGUAAGUCAGAAGUGAAAGCCCCGGGCUCAACCCGGGAAGUGCUUUUGAUACUGCUAAUCUUGAGUGUGGGAGAGGGUAGUAGAAUUCCAGGUGUAGUGGUGAAAUACGUAGAUAUCUGGAGGAACACCGGUGGCGAAGGCGACUGCCUGGCCCAACACUGACGCUCAGACCCGAAAGCGUGGGUAGCAAACAGGAUUAGAUACCCUGGUAGUCCACGCCGUAAACACUGGACACUUGUUGUUGGAGGUAUUGACCCCUUCAGUGACGGAGCUAACGCGUUAAGUGUCCCGCCUGGGGAGUA